UGUAUCAAUGGCGGCCUGGUAACCGGAUACGCUGGCUGUGUGCUGCACUUUUUCUUGAAUGUAUUAGAAAGAGCAUUUUAGUGGUGACUAAUACUACAAUCGAACCACUCUACCUUGAUAAAGCCGCUUCCUAAAUACUCGUCCUGCGCCUGAGAUCCAGGAGUGCGGCGUUGGUUAGCGGCAUUGGGGCGCUGAGCUACCUGGGGUUCAAAAUGAAGCCUUUUUGGGAGGUGGAGAUUGCUCUAGGUUCUCCUCGUUUUAGCUGUCAACUUGUUUGGGAGGUCUGAGGUCGAGAUCGGGGCCGACGUUGAUGUUAGGUGAACGAAAGGAGCUCCUUUUGGUGCUUGGGUAGCUAUUGGUGCUGGUUCGGGUCGAGAAGGGAGUUCCUGAGUCUCUCCAUUAAAUAAGAAGAUGAAACUCUCACCAUCAGGUCUUGGAAAUCAGCAACAAGAUGAGAUCCACUGCCCUAGCAUAUGCUAUCAAUCUUGUGAGAACAAAGCUAAGGUUGUUUCCUUAGAUGAGAAAGAAAGAGGUAUCCGAGCAACCCUGAACUUUGGGCAUACAUUUGGACAUGUGAUGGCAGUUGAUAUGUCUUGUCGCCUUGGCUGGAUCGACAAUUCUAUCGUGCGGCGAGUCCUCAAUAUCCUACAAGAGGUGAUGACGGUCUAGAAAUUCAGAUCCGUAAUGGCUGUAAGUAUCAGAAACCUUAGUUUUGUUAUCCUUCCCCUAGCUGCUUCUUGUUAAACUUUGUUGUUCAUUGUUAUCCUUCCCCUAGCUGCUUCCAUUAUGCAUUUACUAUAAAUUUUGCAUAAAUUUGGUGAAUAUUUCAUUCAAAUUAAUAUAUGAGAAUAACUUUUCUUUGCUGCUGCUUUUGAUUUCCCAUGCCAUGGAUCAGUAGUCAUGCCUGUCUUGAGAAUGGCUUUACUUUUCUGCUCACUCUGGAUUUCAUUGGUUGAGUUUACUGUAUUGAUUAUGUUGGAAAGUGUAGAAUCUGUUCAUUGAGUUUAAUGUAUUAAUUAUGUGGGUUUGCUUAUUGUCUUGAGUUUAAUAUAUAGAUGUUGUAUCUAUUGUGAGCUUAUUGUCUUUGUCAAAUAUAUUCAUUGGGUUUAAUGUAUUGAUUAUGUGAGUUGCUUCAUCUUAA